CUGCCUUCAGGCUCUGGUUGUUGUGGACAUGGUCUUCCUUUGCAGGGCAAGAAUAAGCAACAGUGCGAUUUCUCUGGUGAUACUGACAAUUGCAGGCUUGAAGUCUGCUCCGUGAAACAUGCCAGCAUUUUGAUAUAGCAAUUAAAUAAUAAAGCACAGAACAACACACUCAGAAUUGACAUUUCAUUCCUGGGAUCAUCCCUGCUUAUCAGAGAUGCUCUGGUUCUGCUCUCUGGAGAUAGCUCUGAAGUCAAAGGCAUUAAGGGACUCAUAAUAGGAAUUCAAGUCUCGUAUAUCUCAUAAGUAGAGUGGCUUUACAGCAUCUUUCUUUGCCCUGAGGUCUGACACUACCUGGAGAGUACAGCUCAGUGUGAAACCAAGCUCGCUCUGCUAUCUGACAGAAGAAGAGAAAUCUCACUGUGAUUUUUCUCUGCAGAUAAGCAUUUUGUAUGAGAAUAGUUUAGGGCAGAUGGUGGCAAACAAAUCCUUGCUGAAAGGUAAGGCAGUGCAGAAACCUUACUUUUGUUAUUUGAGUUUUGUGCCUUUAGGUUGAAACUAGUGUUGUGGAGUGCUCUGGAGCAGUGAGAUUUUCUGCAUCAGGAUGUCACAGUGCUGUGAGCACGCAUCGUAGGCAAGUGGUUGCCAAUCCUCCCAGCAGUGCCAGCUUCAGAAAUGAAAGAUGUUGGUGGGGGUGCUGCUAACCACACAUCUUAUGUUCCAAAAAAAUAACAUAUUACCUGGGUGAAGUCCAUCUACUGAAGCUGUAAAAAUUCCGAACUCUCAAAGGCCAUAACAAACCUCACUGUGGAAACUUGAUUCUUCACUGUUCAAAGAAAUUUUCCCUGUUCAGCACAUUGCCAAAUAUUCAGGGUUCUGGCUUUACACAUUUCUGUAGGAUCGUUCUUGGUUCCAUUUUACUGCUAUCCUACUCCUCCUAGACAGCAGGUCACCUCCGCUUGUAGCAUUUGUCAUUUUGUCAUUUUCUUGUUUAGCUGAUUGAGUAGCUGAUUAAUUGUAACAUAACGUUACCUAUAUCACACAAUCAAGAUCAGUGUCCUGUUGCAAUGCUCUGUUUGGGAGUAAAGUAGGAAACAAAUUACCACCACAAAAGCAUAUGAACAAGCCAUAACAGAGUGGAAGGUAAGAAAAUGGGAAGAUCCCUACAGAGUGGAUCAGAUCACCACUCAGGAAAGAAGUUGUAGCUGCAUAAGAAUUUCUGUCUUAUAUCCAGAGUCUGGUGGUGUAACUUCAACCUUAUCAGUUAAUGUGGCAUUGUAGGUUUGUAAGUCCACUCAGUGUUGGCUGCAUACACCAUUAUUUGACCCAAGACAGUGAACAUGCCAGCACCAAUUCCACUACAACACCCCUCUGUGAUUGUUUCCUCAAAAGCAAAACUAAAAGAAUUCAGUUUGAUACAAACUAUUCUAUUCUGUUUCAUAUGUUUGCAGAUCCUACCUCCCAAGAAUCUGUUCAGUUUGCUAAAAAAUGAAAUGGCUACAGAUGGAUAUUUCUUUCAAUUACUGUAAAAACAUGUAACAAAGCCUCUUUGAUGCCUGGCUUUUGGCAUAGCAAGUAUAGUUCAUACUGUUAUGAUGAUUUGGGGUGGUCUGUGGGAGAUUAUUUUCCCCUCCUGUUGAGAAACCACAGGAAACACAGGGUUGGCACACAGGCUUUUCCUUUUUGUCUUGGGGUAUAACUUGUUGGUACUUUCUCUUCCAUUAUUACUUGUUACCUCAAAAAACUUUCAUUCAAAGGAAAUACUUAUGCCAAUGUUAUAUGAAUGGAAUCUUACCCUGCAACUGAGAUCUUCAAUGAUAUUGUCCUACUUCGGAGCGCAGUAUGAGCCAUACACAUAGCACCAGUAAUGUAAAGAAAGCUAAGCGUUGAUUGCUACAGACCUGAGAUGUCCUGGGACUUGGUGCAAGAGACCAAGAGGCCAUUUCAUUGUGUUCCAAUCUACCGACAUGCUCCUGCGCUAGCUGUAAGAGUCCUAGAACUGAAGCAAGAAAAAGCACCCAAAAAGCUAUAUAGUUUUCAUUUAUUUUUCCAGGAUUUUAUGUAUCCAAAUUGAAACUGGGAAAGAGUAGGAGGUUCUGCCCCAUGGGAAAUCAUCUCAGCCUUUACUGGAAAAUCUAAGAUGAAAAAAACGUUAACCAUUAUUUCCUUUAGGGUCAUGGUGGUUUAUAUUCAUUUGAACACCAAGUUGUGCUUUGCAAAUGAUUCUGUUGGCUUGAAGGCCUAGGACCCAGUGACCAUACUCCUCAGGACAGACCUCCAGCCUGGUGGCUUCCAUGUUGCUCCACAUGGCUGACAAGUAAAUCAGUAUAAGGCAAAGGGAAGAAAUCCUUGAGCUUCAAGAACGUAGGGGAGGAAGGCUGAACAGUAGGUCACAAUUGCCCUGCAAGAGAGGCAAUCAUGUUGUGGCAAAGCACUUGAUUAAUAUGACAAAAAGAGGAAACAUGUCUGUAAUCUCUAUGGAGAAAUGGUCAAGAUAGAAAUUAAAUAUAGAAUUUUAUUGACCUUAAACAUUGUAGACCAGUUUGAAGCAGUAAAGGAGUGGAGAGAAAGGGAGUCCAGUUUGAGUAAAUAAAAUAACGAAUCAUUAAUAUUUCGAGGCAACAUCAAUAUUCUCACAGAAUCAGCAACCAUACCUUAUCUCACUUGGACAGAAAGUUGUUUUUACAUCUCUUUUUCAGAACUUUAAGCUUGAGACUUGCUGUGAGAAGGUUUGAUAGUGAGUUCAGUAUUGUCUUUGGACCACCUCUCCUUUAAAGCUUGGAUUCUUCUUUCACUUUUACUGUUUUUAUAUCAGUACAACCUUAGGCAAUUGGACACAGUCUGGUCUAUGGCCUGAAAAUAUGCCAGUCAUUUCUAAGCAAUUUCCUAAGUCCUACUGUCCCCUUCCACCAGCUCAAUACUGGCCUAAAUGAAUCUCUCUUCAAAUGCUUUGUGAAUCUUAUAAUGAAAUACUCCGGCUGUGUACUGGAUGUGGAAAUGUUCUUAAAGCCUUGUUUCUAAUUUUAGAAUGAGUAUUGUGAGGGAUUUCUAUUCCUUGUUCAUCUAAAAUCUAAUUUAAUAGCAGUAGAAGAGGCUAUUGAAGGAG
rnacentral:lncRNA from 1 species